AGAACGAACGCUGGCGGCAUGCCUAAUACAUGCAAGUCGAACGAACUCUUCGGAGUUAGUGGCGCACGGGUGCGUAACGCGUGGGAAUCUGCCCCUUGGUUCGGAAUAACAGUUGGAAACGACUGCUAAUACCGGAUGAUGACGAAAGUCCAAAGAUUUAUCGCCAAGGGAUGAGCCCGCGUAGGAUUAGCUAGUUGGUGAGGUAAAGGCUCACCAAGGCAACGAUCCUUAGCUGGUCUGAGAGGAUGAUCAGCCACACUGGGACUGAGACACGGCCCAGACUCCUACGGGAGCAGCAGUAGGGAAUAGUUAGGACAAUGGGACGAAAGCC
rnacentral:rRNA from 1 species